GAUGAACGCUGGCGGCGUGCCUAAUACAUGCAAGUCGAGCGAACGGACGAGAAGCUUGCUUCUCUGAUGUUAGCGGCGGACGGGUGAGUAACACGUGGAUAACCUACCUAUAAGACUGGGAUAACUUCGGGAAACCGGAGCUAAUACCGGAUAAUAUUUUGAACCGCAUGGUUCAAAAGUGAAAGACGGUCUUGCUGUCACUUAUAGAUGGAUCCGCGCUGCAUUAGCUAGUUGGUAAGGUAACGGCUUACCAAGGCAACGAUGCAUAGCCGACCUGAGAGGGUGAUCGGCCACACUGGAACUGAGACACGGUCCAGACUCCUACGGGAGGCAGCAGUAGGGAGUCUUCCGCAAUGGGCGAAAGCCUGACGGAGCAACGCCGCGUGAGUGAUGAAGGUCUUCGGAUCGUAAAACUCUGUUAUUAGGGAAGAACAUAUGUGUAAGUAACUGUGCACAUCUGGACGGUACCUAAGCAGAAAGCCACGGCUAACUACGU
rnacentral:rRNA from 1 species